GAGACAGUUCGGUCUCUAUCUGCUGUGGGCGUUGGAAAUUUGAGAGGAGCUGACUUUAGUACGAGAGGACCGAGUUGGACAGCCCUCUAGUGUACCUGUUGUUUCGCCAGAAGCAUUGCAGGGUAGCUACGGCUGGUUGGGAUAAGCACUGAAAGCAUAUAAGUGCGAAGCCCACCUCAAGAUGAGAUUUCCCUUAAGGGUCGUUCGAGAUGAGGACGUUGAUAGGCUUCAGGUGUAAAGGCAGUAAUGUCAUAGCCGAGAAGUACUAAUUACCCGUGGCUUUCUAA
rnacentral:rRNA from 1 species